AGAGAGUUUUGAAGUGUUUGAUAAGUGUAAAAGGAAAGUCGUGGUUACUGCAAAUCCGACUAUUAUGGUUGAGCCAUUUGUGAAGGAUUUUUUAGGAGGUGAUAAGGUGCUUGGAACGGAGAUUGAGGUGAAUCCAAAGACGAAGAAGGCUACUGGAUUUGUUAAGAGUCCUGGGAUUUUGGUAGGAAAAUGGAAGAAAUUGUCGAUAUUGAAGGAAUUUGGAGAUGAAAUGCCUGAUAUUGGAUUGGGUGAUCGCGAAUCUGAUCAUGAUUUCAUGUCCAUUUGCAAGGUAAAUUAAUUUGAACUUAUUUAAUUUAAACUCAGUGCUCCGUUCUCAGUGAUAUUUACCGUGUUUGUCUUUUACACAUCUUUUAAAAACUACAUCUUUAUUUGUUCUUUUAUUUUAGCUUUCACUUUUAUUUUUCAGAACAGUCAAUGCUGCGGGUGAAAUUGAAAAAACAUAAUUAUUAAUCUUUUUUUAAUUUUAUAAAAUGACGAGAGUUACUCAUAUGUGAUGUUUUAGUGGGAAGUGGUAAAUAUCCCGUGAAGUAAUUUAAGAUGUGAAAGAUGCCUCGAAUAUUAUAGUUAUCAAACAAAAAUUUAUAACUACUAUUUGAUUUGAGACAAAAAUAUAAGAUUUGAGAAUUGUGUUCUUCACUCUAUAUUCGUUUAAAAUGGAGUAUGCCUUUAUUUCAAAUCUAGAAUCCUUAACCUUUAGAUUAUGAAUAUCACCCCUUUGUCUAUUUCUAGUAUUUGGUAUUCACUAAAUUCACUAUUUAAGAAGCAAUAAAUAGAAUAUAAUUUUAUUUAUUACUCUUUGAUUAUAAUAGGCUUGAUGUUUUCAGAAAUACAUUAAGAAAUGAUUCUAGUUAAUAAUGCUCCGAUGAUAAUUUAAAAAUUAAGUGACAAAUUAUCUUUAUAGUAGUUUAUUAAAUUGAAUCAAUAAAAGUGAAUAUUUAUUUUUAGUACAAUAAAUAAAUUAAUGUGGACGGAGGGAGGAUACUGAAAUUCUGCAAGUAUGAAUCCAACAAGACGACGACGUCAAUGAAUGUUUUGUCAUAUACGGGAAAUCUAACAAUAUUUUAAACUUUGACUUUUAAAUUUUCUAUUUCAUUCUUUAGCAAGUUAUAUUUAUUAGUUUAAUAUAAUUAUUCAAAGCUUGGUCCAACUGGUGCAUGAUGUUGUUAACCAAAACAUAGCUAAUUUUAUGAUCAUAUGGAUGGACCUUUAACUUGGUCAUAUUAGUGUGUUAUUUUCUCAAUGGGUUGCGUGAAGAAGUCAUGUCUAUCUAAUAAUGUUUACAUUAAAAUGGAACCUUAUCUUUGAUUUCUUAAAAGAAUCAACAAAUAGGAGGAAAAAGAAAGAGCCUCCAAUGAAUCUAGUUCUCUUACAAGUUACAACUCUAUACUUGAAUAAAUUAAAAAAUAACUUGGCCAUUUAAUGUAGUAGUUGAGCCAAACAUGUGAAGGUAAAUUGUGAGGGGCCUCACCAAUUACUCCCUUACCUGCCACUUAGCAGAAUCGCACUGGACCUUUUACAUUGAUAUAACAUGUGAAUACAUACAAGGAGUAAUAAAGGACUUCAUUACCUUUUUGUUCGGUCAUUUAUGUAUUGCUAAUAGUAGUUGGUUUUAACUUCGUUCUUGAAUAAUAAAUGAACCUAGAUAAUGUUAAAUCAUGAUUUUAUUUGACCUACCUACAAAUUGAAUCGAAUAGGUGAUCUACAUCGUCUAUACUCUAUACUAACGUAUAUAUGUAAAAAAAAAAAUCAGGAGGGUUAUAUGGUGCUACCUAGCAAAUCAGCGAAGCCAGUACCCCUUGAUCGUCUGAAAAACAGAUUGAUCUUCCAUGAUGGUCGCUUGGUGCAGCGCCCAACUCCAAUCAACGCGUUAAUCACCUACAUUUGGCUGCCAUUUGGAUUUGCUCUUGGAGUUUUUCGCGUAUACUUCAAUCUCCCUCUUCCAGAGCGCAUUGUUCGUUAUACGUAUGGGAUGGUUGGGAUCAACCUUGUUAUCAAAGGCCCUCGACCACCUGCACCAUCACCAGGAACCCCAGGGAACCUCUACGUGUGUAAUCAUCGUUCAGCCCUCGAUCCAAUUAUCAUUGCUAUUGCACUCGGGAGAAAAGUUUCCACUGUCACAUAUAGUGUAAGCAAGCUCUCCAGAUUCUUGUCACCAAUUCCAGCCAUUGCUU
rnacentral:lncRNA from 1 species